AGAGUUUGAUCCUGGCUCAGGAUAAACGCGGCGGGCGCACAUAAGACAUGCAAGUCGAACGGAAGUCGUUACAAAAUGGAAUGACGAUUUAUCUGAGUGAAGUUUUGUAACAAUGGCUUUAGUGGCGGACUGGUGAGUAACACGUAAGCAAUCUGCCUAUUAGAGGGGAAUAACAAUGAGAAAUCAUUGCUAAUACCGCAUAAGCUUGUAGUAUCGCAUGAUACAGCAAGAAAGGGAGUAAUCCGCUAAUAGAUGAGCUUGCGGCUGAUUAGCUAGUUGGUAAGGUAACGGCUUACCAAGGCAACGAUCAGUAGCCGGGCUGAGAGGCUCUGCGGCCACAUUGGGACUGAGAUACGGCCCAGACUCCUACGGGAGGCAGCAGUCGGGAAUAUUGCGCAAUGGAGGAAACUCUGACGCAGUGACGCCGCGUAUAGGAAGAAGGUUUUAGGAUUGUAAACUAUUUUAGUCAGGGAAGAAAAAUGACAGUACCUGAAGAAUAAGCUCCGGCUAACUACGUGCCAGCAGCCGCGGU
rnacentral:rRNA from 1 species